AAUUAUAAUCUUACUUUUAUUUAAAAUUUAAAAUGUGAGAAAUAUCUUUUUAUUUAGUAUAUUAAAGAAUUAUUGUUUUUUGUUAUAGUUUAUUAGUACUGUGAAGGAAUUGAUGAAAUAUUUUAUAAUUAUUUUUUUAUAAGUAUGUUUAAUUUGCAGUACCUUUUGUAUCAGGGUUGAUUAAUUAAAUUAAAUUAUUUUUAUAUCUCGAUUUCAAAAGAGCUAAGUUAUUAUUUUAGUUAAUGUGGAAUAAUUAUUAAUAAUAUAAUUUAGUAAAGAAAUUUUAUUCGGUUUUGAAGGUAUCUAGUUUUUUAAGAAAUAAAUUUAAUUUAGCUUUAUUUAUUAAAUUUUAUAUUAUAUUAUAAUUUAUAAAAUAAAAUAAAUAUUAUAGGGGAUAAGCUCUAUAUUUUUCUAUAAAAUGUUAAUUAAUUUAUUCUUGUAGGUUUAAAAUUAUCCAUCAUUAGUAAGUGUGUUAUAAUUUAUUUUUAUUAUUAAUUAAUUUUUUUUUAUUUUUAGUAUAUUAUUAAAAUAUCAGAAUUAAUUUUUUAUUGUGAUUAAUAAUGAUUAAAUUAGUAUAAAUUAUUGUUUAUUGUAUAAUUUAUUUUAUAAUAAAAUAAGGAACUCGGCAAAUAUAGUUCUCGCCUGUUUAUCAAAAACAUGUCCUUUUGAAUUUAAUUGAAGGUCUGACCUGCCCAGUGAUAAUUUUAACGGCCGCGGUAUACUGACCGUGCAAAGGUAGCAUAAUCAUUAGUCUUUUAAUAGAGGGCUGGAAUGAAAGGUUUAACGAGGAACUGACUGUCUCAUUUUAUUUGUUUUAAAAUUUAAUUUUUUAGUUAAAAAGCUAAAAUUUUAUUGGAAGACGAGAAGACCCUAUAGAUCUUUACAUAUUUUUAUUUAAAUAUUUAUAUAUCAAUAUUUUUAUUUUAAAAUGUGUUUUGUUGGGGUGACAAAAAUAUAUAAUUAACUUUUUUAUUUACAUAACAUUGAUUUAUGAUUAUUAGAUCCAAUCUUAUUGAUUAUUAGAUUAAGUUACCUUAGGGAUAACAGCGUAAUCCUCCUCCAGAGUUCAUAUUUACAGGAUGGGCUUGCGACCUCGAUGUUGGAUUAAGAUAAUAAUUAGGUGUAGCCGCUUAAUUUAUAGGUCUGUUCGACCUUUAAAUUCUUACAU
rnacentral:rRNA from 1 species